UUUUCUUUCAUUUUAUUUUCAUAGUCUACUUAAACUUGACUUUAAAAAAAAAAAAAAGAUUCAAGCACAUAAGAAUGUUAAUGUAUUUCUGAAUUUGCUUCAGUCGUGUCCGACUCUGUGUGACCCCACAGACGGCAGCCCACCAGGCUCCUCUGUCCUUGGGAUUCUCCAGGGAAGAAUACUGGAGUAGGUUGCCAUUUCCUCCUCCACUCUCAAAGUUCCAGACCCAUACCCUUGGAUUGUGUCCUGAAAACCUGGGAUGGGCCUGACAAACGACAUGGGCCUGCUUCUGCUGACUCCAAACGUCCCGAGUCUGCCAUUUGACCCUCAAGACAACGCCUUUCUGUCCUGGGCUCAUUCUUAUGCUGCAUUCCACAAUCGGUCUAAUUGCUGGGUCUGCGGAGUGCUCCCCUCUUCAUCAGUUGAAGGGUUCCCAUGUUCAGGCCCUCCUUUUGCCUCGCCAGGAACUCACUGGGACUGGAUCGCUCUGUCACGCUGGUUUGCUCCAAACAGGACCUAUUGGAUAUGUGGCUCUUAUCUAUGGGCAUGGCUUCCCCCUGGCUGGAUAGGGAGGUGCACCCUAGGUCUAGCUUUUACUCGUGGCUUCAUAUUUUCAGAGCUUCCAGAGAAUCCUGCUGAUCUGCCACAGCUUAAAACUCGCUGGGCAAGGUCUGUAUUUCACUGGUAUGAUUAUCUGGCUGCAAUAUCCAUCCCCUCUCUGGGGACACAGAUGUUAUGCUACGAGUUGAUGCUCUGACUAAGUUAACUCAACAGGCUUUACAAGAUUCUCAAAAAGCUAGUUCAGCCCUUAAUGCUAAACAAAUACAAAUUAGAAAGGCGGUUUUACAAAACAGAUUGGCCUUAGAUAUUCUAACAGCUGCACAAGGAGGAACUUGUGCCAGUAUUCAUACCCAAAGUUGCACAUAUAUACCAGAUAUGAGUACUAAUGCUACUCACAUACUAAACACAUGAACGAGAUGAUUCAGGCUAUGGAUUCUCUCGAAGUUUCAGUCACCUCACUUUGGGAAAGGUUAACUAGCUCCCCAUGGUAGAAAACUAUCUUAAUUGUAGUAAUUCUAAUUGUUCUGUUUUUACUGUUUGCUCCCUGCAUCUGCAACUGUGUAACUGGAUUUGUUUCUAACCGUCUGAAAGCUUUUAUGUUACAAAUGGUUGUCCAGGCUCCUAGGAGUGCCACAGCCUCCUUCAACUAUUACUUGGGGCCCCUAGAUCAGAGACCCUCAAUA